AUUGAACGCUGGCGGCAGGCCUAACACAUGCAAGUCGAAUGGUAACAGGAAACUGCUUGCUGUUUCGCUGACGAGUGGCGGACGGGUGAGUAAUGUCUGGGAAACUGCCUGAUGGAGGGGGAUAACUACUGGAAACGGUAGCUACUACCGCAUAACGUCGCAAGACCAAAGAGGGGGACCUUCGGGCCUCUUGCCAUCAGAUGUGCCCAGGUGGGAUUAGCUAGGAGGUGGGGUAAGGGCUCACCUAGGCGGCGAUGCCUAGCUGGUGUGAGGGGAGGACCGGCCACACUGGAACUGGGACGCGGUCCAGACUCCUACGGGAGGCAGCAGUGGGGAAUAUUGCACAAUGGGGGCAAGCCUGAUGCAGCCAUGCCGCGUGUAUGGAGAAGGCCUUCGGGUUGUAAAGUACUUUCAGCGGGGAGGAAGGGAGUAAAGUUAAUACCUUUGCUCAUUGACGUUACCCGCAGAAGAAGCACCGGCUAACUCCGUG
rnacentral:rRNA from 1 species